AGUUUGAUCCCUGGCUCAGGAUGAACGCUGGCGGCGUGCCUAAUACAUGCAAGUCGAGCGAACAGAUAAGGAGCUUGCUCCUUUGACGUUAGCGGCGGACGGGUGAGUAACACGUGGGUAACCUACCUAUAAGACUGGGAUAACUUCGGGAAACCGGAGCUAAUACCGGAUAAUAUUUCGAACCGCAUGGUUCGAUAGUGAAAGAUGGUUUUGCUAUCACUUAUAGAUGGAUCCGCGCCGUAUUAGCUAGUUGGUAAGGUAACGGCUUACCAAGGCAACGAUACGUAGCCGACCUGAGAGGGUGAUCGGCCACACUGGAACUGAGACACGGUCCAGACUCCUACGGGAGGCAGCAGUAGGGAAUCUUCCGCAAUGGGCGAAAGCCUGACGGAGCAACGCCGCGUGAGUGAUGAAGGUCUUCGGAUCGUAAAACUCUGUUAUUAGGGAAGAACAUACGUGUAAGUAACUAUGCACGUCUUGACGGUACCUAAUCAGAAAGCCACGGCUAACUACGUGCCAGCAGCCGCGGUAAUACGUAGGUGGCAAGCGUUAUCCGGAAUUAUUGGGCGUAAAGCGCGCGUAGGCGGUUUUUUAAGUCUGAUGUGAAAGCCCACGGCUCAACCGUGGAGGGUCAUUGGAAACUGGAAAACUUGAGUGCAGAAGAGGAAAGUGGAAUUCCAUGUGUAGCGGUGAAAUGCGCAGAGAUAUGGAGGAACACCAGUGGCGAAGGCGACUUUCUGGUCUGUAACUGACGCUGAUGUGCGAAAGCGUGGGGAUCAAACAGGAUUAGAUACCCUGGUAGUCCACGCCGUAAACGAUGAGUGCUAAGUGUUAGGGGGUUUCCGCCCCUUAGUGCUGCAGCUAACGCAUUAAGCACUCCGCCUGGGGAGUACGACCGCAAGGUUGAAACUCAAAGGAAUUGACGGGGACCCGCACAAGCGGUGGAGCAUGUGGUUUAAUUCGAAGCAACGCGAAGAACCUUACCAAAUCUUGACAUCCUUUGACCGCUCUAGAGAUAGAGUUUUCCCCUUCGGGGGACAAAGUGACAGGUGGUGCAUGGUUGUCGUCAGCUCGUGUCGUGAGAUGUUGGGUUAAGUCCCGCAACGAGCGCAACCCUUAAACUUAGUUGCCAGCAUUCAGUUGGGCACUCUAAGUUGACUGCCGGUGACAAACCGGAGGAAGGUGGGGAUGACGUCAAAUCAUCAUGCCCCUUAUGAUUUGGGCUACACACGUGCUACAAUGGACAAUACAAAGGGCAGCGAAACCGCGAGGUCAAGCAAAUCCCAUAAAGUUGUUCUCAGUUCGGAUUGUAGUCUGCAACUCGACUACAUGAAGCUGGAAUCGCUAGUAAUCGUAGAUCAGCAUGCUACGGUGAAUACGUUCCCGGGUCUUGUACACACCGCCCGUCACACCACGAGAGUUUGUAACACCCGAAGCCGGUGGAGUAACCAUUUUGGAGCUAGCCGUCGAAGGUGGGACAAAUGAUUGGGGUGAAGUCGUAACAAGGUAGCCGUAUCGGAAGGUGCGGCUGGAUCA
rnacentral:rRNA from 1 species